GCUUAACGCGAAGAACCUUACCCAGGCUUGACAUCCCUGGAAGGUCUCCGAAAGGAGACUGUGCCUUCGGGAAUCAGGUGACAGGUGCUGCAUGGCCGUCGUCAGCUCGUGUCGUGAGAUGUUUGGUUAAGUCCAUUAACGAGCGCAACCCUUGUAAGUAGUUGAAUUUUUCUACUUAGACCGCCUCGGUAACGGGGAGGAAGGAGGGGAUGAUGUCAGGUCAGUAUUGCCCUUACGCCUGGGGCUACAAACACGCUACAAUGGCCGGUACAAAGGGCAGCCAACCCGCGAGGGGGAGCAAAUCCCAUCAAAAACCGGUCCCAGUUCGGAUAGCAGGCUGAAAUUCGCCUGCUUGAAGUCGGAAUCGCUAGUAACGGUGAGUCAGCUAUAUUACCGUGAAUACGUUCCCGGGUCUUG
rnacentral:rRNA from 1 species